rnacentral:rRNA from 1 species
CGAGCUUAGAGAGCUUGCUUUUUAAGCUUAGUGGCGAACGGGUGAGUAACGCGUGAGUACCUGCCCUAGAGUGGGGGACAACAGUUGGAAACGACUGCUAAUACCGCAUAAGGCCGCAUGACAAAAGAUUUAUCGCUUUAGGAUGGACUCGCGUCCAAUUAGCUAGUUGGUGAGGUAACGGCCCACCAAGGCACGAUUGGUAGCCGGACUGAGAGGUUGAACGGCCACAUUGGGACUGAGACACGGCCCAGACUCCUACGGGAGGCAGCAGUGGGGGAUAUUGCACAAUGGGGGAAACCCUGAUGCAGCGACGCCGCGUGGAGGAAGAAGGUUUUCGGAUUGUAAACUCCUGUCGUUAGGGACGAUAAGACGGUACCUAACAAGAAAGCACCGGCUAACUACGUGCCAGCAGCCGCGGUAAAACGUAGGGUGCAAGCGUUGUCCGGAAUUACUGGGUGUAAAGGGAGCGCAGGCGGGAAGCAAGUUGGAAGUGAAAACCAUGGGCUCAACCCAUGAAUUGCUUUCAAAACUGUUUUUCUUGAGUAGUGCAGAGGUAGAUGGAAUUCCCGGUGUAGCGGUGGAAUGCGUAGAUAUCGGGAGGAACACCAGUGGCGAAGGCGGUCUACUGGGCACCAACUGACGCUGAGGCUCGAAAGCAUGGGUAG